AUUGAACGCUGGCGGCAUGCUUUACACAUGCAAGUCGAACGGUAACAGGUUAAGCUGACGAGUGGCGAACGGGUGAGUAACGCAUCGGAACGUGCCCGAUCGUGGGGGAUAACGCAUCGAAAGCUGCGCUAAUACCGCAUAAGAUCCGAGGAUGAAAGCGGGGGACUUUAUAGCAAUAUGAGGCCUCGCGCGAUCGGAGCGGCCGAUGUCAGAUUAGGUAGUUGGUGGGGUAAAGGCCCACCAAGCCGACGAUCUGUAGCUGGUCUGAGAGGACGACCAGCCACACUGGGACUGAGACACGGCCCAGACUCCUACGGGAGGCAGCAGUGGGGAAUUUUGGACAAUGGGCGAAAGCCUGAUCCAGCAAUGCCGCGUGCAGGAAGAAGGCCUUCGGGUUGUAAACUGCUUUUGUACGGAGCGAAAAGGUCCUUUCUAAUACAAGGGGCUCAUGACGGUACCGUAAGAAUAAGCACCGGCUAACUACGUGCCAGCCGCCACCGUAA
rnacentral:rRNA from 1 species